UGGACAAAGCGUUUCCGCGCACCACUCUCGGGUCGAUCAUGAUGUUGCCGUAGCGCCGCGGGCCCUUCUCCCUGCGGCACAGCACAGACAGCGCCGGUUGCGGCCCCCGCACGCCGGGCACGAGAAAGGCAGGGCGGCGGGGGCUGCGCUCCCCGGGAAGGGCCGGCAGGGAGCUGGGCUGAGGGGAAAGGCGCGGAGGGCAGCGGGGCAGCGGCCCGCGGAGGGCGGCGCGGUCCGCCGGACACCAGCACUCACGUCUCGGCGGCGUUGGACUGCUCUCGGUACUGGAAUGCGGUGGCCAGGUCACCCCGGAGCCUUCCCUUUGCUGUGCGCGGCCUCGCCCCUCACGGAGCUGUUCCUGCCGGGACGGAGCCAAAGCCUCGGGAGGAGCCGGCCCGCCGGGCCCUGGGAAAGCAUCACCGUAACCCACAGCGGGUUGGGCUUGGCAGCGCUGCGGGGCCCGCCCUGGCCGAGGCAAUGAGAGCGUCGGACCGCGAGGUGUCACCGUCCUCCCGCCGCCUCGGGAUAAACUCCCCAGGGACUCGCAGCUUUCCCGGGAAACGCGGGGUGCCUUAACCCGACCUGCACUAGCACUGGCUUGAGAAGGUUGGAUGGGGGGUCGCGAAACCCUUUUGGAUGGCGUGCUGGUGGCUUAAGUGCUGGUGUCCUGGAAGUACCGGCUCUAACAGCUGCACUCCAAAUUUGUGUUUUCCACACAAGCUGGAGAUUUGGAUACUGUAAAGGUGUCCUGUGAGGACAGAUACAAGAUGAGCUCAGACAUCUGAGUUACUGCUGCAGACAUCUGUGCUCCGCCACAGCCCCGAGUAGACAGUCCCAGGCAAAAAACUGGAAACAGCAGAGAGUACUUCGCAGGAGGCCUCAAAGGCAUGGGGGAAGCAUCCUGUGGAGCAGGAGAAACUAUUUGAAAAACAAGUUAAAAAACCCACCCCAAACUAAAAGCCUGCCAAAAAGCCAGGUGUGGGAGGCAAGGGGGAAAAAAAGAAUGUUUUCGUCAUUUAUUAUUGGGAAGCUUGCAGAGUCAAUAGAGGAAUGGGAAUUGUGUUGACUCCACUGUUGCUAGCUGGGUGGUGGGACAAGUGGAUAUGGGCCUGCAGAAGUACAGUGCAAGUGUCACUGGGGUAGGAGGGGAGAGAAGUCCUUCAAUAUUUGCUUGUGUCUGGGCAAGCAAAGUUAAUGAAUGAGUUCUCGAUCCAGCCAAGCCAGAGUACUAUGGUCCUUAAAUUUGACCAGAACCAAUACAAUCCUUUGAUUUUGAAAACUUGACUCAUAUUUUCUGAAAAUUUAAUUUUGGUUUUAUGGUUGGCUCUACUGCUGUUGGACGGGGGACUUGAAAUCUGGGUAGACCUUUCCAAGAUUGUUAGAGAUCUGGUGUUUCUGUUCACGUGAGAAACAGCUGCAGCAUAGCCUUAAAAAUGUCAGUCUAUACCUGUCCAGAGUGUGCUUGCAGAACAACCCUAGAAAUUGGGCUGGAACGGACUGGAGAGGAGGGCAACUAGAAGAUGGCCUGUAACCACUGGAGCAAGGAUUCCUGAGGAGCUGCCUGUUACCUAUUGCACACAAAUCUUGUGAAGAUGAAGGUGUUGCAUCACAGGUUCAUUUUGUUAAGCUGGCCCCAGCUGGUGUCUCACUUUUUGGGAGAAUUUCUCAUUCAGCUAAUAUGUUCGCUGGUUGAAUGGCAGUGACUCUCCUCCUUAUCUCUGUGAAACACUGCUACCCCCUGAGUUAGCAGUUCAGUGCAAAGGUCUCUGCAGGUUUAUAAGUGACAAAGCUAUGCCCAGAAAAGCUCAGCUUUUUUCCCUUGGCCCCUUUUAUGUUGGUUUGUUGUUGGGGUUUUUUUUGGUUUUUUGGCUAAAAAUAGCUGGUGAGUUCUGGAACAUUUUGCGUCAUCACAAGACUGAGUGGAGCAGGAUCCAAAAACAUGUUGAUUGUAAUCAGAUUGCUGCCAUUAGUUGCUCUCUGGAUCUUACAGUAAUGUUUCACAUAUGCUUUAGAGGAUUUUCUUGGACCUGCACGACAGCAGUGCCAGAGGUAUUGCCUGGGAGAUGGGCCUACCUAGCAAGGAAUGAAUCAGCCCGUAUCCCAUAUGGCAGCUAAGAAAGGUCUUUUAAAGUGCCUUCAGUUGACUUGAAAGCUGCAGAACAAGGGCUUUAUCUCCUUCCAGGUUUGCUAUGGGUCUGUUAAAAGGCCUUGGAGCCAAAACAUACUUUUUUGUCUGUUUGUUUUCAUGAGAAUCUCCUGGCAUUGUACCAUGCCUUAUGGCAUGCCCUUGGCUUUCUUUUUUUGGAUGUGAAACAAGUUUAUUCACAGCAAAGCAAAUGUGAAGGUGCCAGUGUGUAGUAACAGAAGAUGUACACCCACUAUUUCCUGCAACACUUGGGAUGCAUUCUGUAACUAGUGAAUGACACCUUGAAAUACAAUAAAAGGGAUCUACAGUGCUGAGCCUGGGUCUUCCUGUGGCCCUAGCUUGGAUGUUGCUAGAUUGAGAGACCUUGUGCCACAGUGCAUCAUACAACACAAUGCUGAGCAGACCAGCUGAGUCCAGUUUCUACCAUCUUAACUUUCUGCAACUUAGUCUCAUAACUAAGAAAGGAAGGAGGUUUAUGGGUAUAGGCAAUGUUUAACUGUCAAGGAAGGACAGAGAGGGGCAUAAUGCUUUCCUAGAGCAUUUUCUCUGUCUGGAGGACCAUGGCUGCUUAUAAAAUCACAGGAAUGCUUCCCUGGUGUAAAACUGUGUAAUUAUAUGAAAUUUGGUUUAGAUUUGGUUCUCGAUGGCCCUGAGAUGGAAUUUUAAUCUAUGAUUCUUACCCUCUUGAGCCUGCAGUUAAAGGCAUGGAUCUCCCAGUCUUAGACGUAAUCUAUUUAAGGCCAAAAUGCCACUGCUUUCAAAUAGACAUGAAAGAAGCACAGAGCAAUCUAGACUGAAAAGGACACUGGAGGUCUCUAGUGUAAUCCUCUUGGCAAAGCCAGGACAAAUUCAAAGAUAGAUCAGAUUGGUCAGGACCUUCUCCUGACAGCUUUUGAAAAUCUACCGGGAUGGAGAUGCUUGUAGUAGCCUUGAAAAUCUCAGAAAUCAUCAUGCUGCUGCUAAUCAAUGCCCUGAGAUGUCUGAUGGAAAUACAAAAAAACACAAAACAAAUGUGGAGAGCUAUCAGUGUGACUAAAAAGAUGAAAGAAUCACAGAGCCCAAGUGAGGUGUAUAUGAACUAUUUGUCCUGAUGCUGUGAGAGAACAAUUAAUAGAAGUGCCCUGAAACCUAUUUCAGCUUGCUGCAGUGACGUGAUCAAAGAAAAUUAGCAAUACUGUGUCAGUAUUGUAUCAGUGGUGUCUGCCAGAUCACAGAUGGUGUCUUGGCUGCUGUUAGUAGGUGCUGGAUUCAGUGUGUCAGAGAUAAACAGGCCUGGUCCUAACAGGGAGACACUUAGCUUUAAAAAUAUAAUGUGCCAACCUGAGAUUUUUGAUGGAUGAGAGACAUAGAAGGAAAAAUAAAUACUGGAGCUAAACUUGAGUUCUGCUGGGGACAUCAAUAUAUUUUUAAUAAGGGUUGUUGAUAUGUAAACAUGAAUAGAAAAAAGUGCAGAUCCUAUCACUCGUAUCUUCAACCCAAGCUAUUAAACUUCCUUUUCUUUGCAGCAGCAGUUCUGUGUUUGUGGGGUUGGGCAGGACUGAAAAGUUUCGGUUCUCAAGACCUUAAUUUCUCUAACACUAGUGAAGAACCAGAAUUUAUUAAUUGUGGUUUCCAGCCAAAAUUUACGAUGCUGUUUCCCCCUACCACUUCACCUCUGACUCUCAGCACCAUUUUCCCUAGGUUGCCUUCCCUCCAUGUUCCCCACAAACUUUGUUUUUCAGUGGUACAAGCCUGCUCUUGGGGCUGCAUUCUUGCCUUUUGCCACCAUGUGCUUUCAGAGACAGUGACUAGAAAAAAUUAUGGAGGGGUGACAAAGCACUUUAGAGGGUGGAGCACACUGAAUUUUAAACUGUCAUUCAUUACAGUUGCCAAAUGAAAAAUCAAUUGUUGGUGACCUUCCUAUUUAAGCUCAAAUAGACUGUGUGCUGCUAUAUUGCUCCAGCCCCUUCUUACCUCUCCCUGUCUUGAGUAGGGCUCUCCCACUCCAUCCUUUUGCCCCAGGAAGUUCUGCCUUAUUUUUCAUCUCCCUGUAUUGAGGGCACUUGUUCAAAUGCACUAAACUUGCAGAGUAAGACACAAGUCUGAUCUGCUUCUGUUGCUCCUUCACUGUAGUCUUGGUGUUUGUCCAUCUUGAUAUAAAUUACCCUUUAUCACAUCUCUGGGAGGCAGAUCAGUAUCACCUGUGCUUAAUUUGAGAUAAACUGCACAGUCCAAAAACUGCACUGGGUAGGAGGCCUUUUGGAAAAAGCAGACCAGGAUGUUGAACACCCUAACUACAAGUCUCUGGUCUUUAUCUCAAGAUCAUCCUCCCUGAUGAACUAUGGAGAACUAGUGGCUGCUCUGCUCUUUCUCACACCCAGGGAUUUCUCAAAUGCCAUGUUUUCUGAUGUCUGUAGCUCACAAGAUGGGUGUGCAUCUCUGUAUUGUACCAUGUAACAUUGUGUACUCCUCAGAGUACAGCACCCUGAGAAGUUGUUGAAUGAUACUGUGGUUGCUGUCUCACCUGGUCACCAGUUGUACUGAAGAAAUCUGGUUGGUGUAUUGCAGGCACAGCUGCACAGGUUCACUUGCUGUGUGAAGUCACAACUUUACAAUGGAGAGAGAACUGCAUGGCCCAAGACUGUGCAGCAAGUAUGUGGAAGAACAGAAAAAUCCCUAAUCUGUAUUGUAAGAGCAUCUUCUCUGAUCACCUGACUUGGAAACUGCUUGGAUUUGGCUUUAAUUUUUUUUUUUUUAAAUACAGUUUUGUAAUUUUCAGCAUAGCCUGUGGGAUACUGAAGGUGCAGGCUUGAAUACGGACUGUUGCAUCUGUCGAGGAGGUUGGUGGGAGGUUUGUGGGUUGUAGGAAGGAAGAGUUUUGAGCAGCCGUUGGAUCAGUUCUGUAAAUAGACUUGUUGGCUGAAGAGCAGGUUUUGUUUAGAAAGUGUGAAACCCUUCAUAGACACCUUUUCAUAUUAUUACCCAUCAGAGGAAGCAGAGCUCAACGGAGUCAACUGUGUUUAGAAUUUGUGAACCAUUUGUUCAGACUUAUGUGCUGACACCUCAGUUAGAGAAUAAUCUGUGGUUUCCUCUUCCUUAGUAGAAGAUCAGGUAGAAUUUGGAAUAGGUUUCACUCAGAAGUGAAAUUUAAAUUGAUGUAUUUAUCACAGUGAAUGGUAAAACAAUAAAUUAUUGGUAAAUAAUUGGUAAA